CCGGGGAAUGCCUCGAGAAAUUUGUAUUGAUUUAUCCGGGGAAUUCUUCGACAUAUCAUGUACACAAAGGAGGUUCGUAAUCAAGGCCCGGGACAUCGAAUAAAGAAACGGAGCAUAGUUUAGGAUUAGUUUAGAAUAGGUUUACAUUUUUGCAUUUUUCAUUUUCGGGAUUGUAUAAUUGGACUGGACAUUAUAUUUUGGAUUAUUUUGUUUUUGUUUGCUUGAGUGAUUGUUUUUACGUGCUUUGUGUGGUUUACGCAUUUGUAAUGUCAAUUUAGCCAAUACGCUCUGCCAAGCGACCGUGGUCAAACCACGGG
rnacentral:lncRNA from 1 species